rnacentral:misc_RNA from 1 species
AACGCACAUUGCGCCCUCUGGCAUUCCGGGGGGCAUGCCUGUCCGAGCGUCAUUUCUGCCCUCCAGCACGGCUGGGUGUUGGGCGCUGUCCCCCCGGGGACACGCCCCAAAGGCAGUGGCGGCGCCGCGUCGGGUCCUCGAGCGUAUGGGGCUCUGUCACCCGCUCGGGAGGGACUCGGUCGGCGCUGGUCUUCCCCCCAGACGGCCCCCUUGCGGGCUCGUCUCCUUCCGGUUGACCUCGGAUCAGGUAGGGCUACCCGCUGAACUUAA